UCUGUUAGGUCUCUGGUUCAUGUCUAUAAUACCCUCCUGACAUGCGUGCGACCCCUCAUUGUCAUCCAUGUCAUCACACUGUCCUCUCAGUGUCAAGCUGAAACCCAGUAUAACACUACACCCAGCACAUCCACACUGUGUGUGUGUGGUUAGUUAAUCUGUAUGAUGGGGAUUAUUUAGGGAUUAGAAGAUAUCAAAGGAACUACGGCCUCACUGACUCAGUGCUAAUGGCUGACUUCACUCAACUGUGUGUCUGUUUGUAAGUAAUGUAAUGACAUCACUCAACCGUGUGCCCUUUGCCCUUUGCCCUCUGCUGUUUUUAAAUCACCCGUGUUUACAAGCUACAGAGAGAAGUUGUUUUGUUGAGGGGUCGGACAAGUCUUCUUAUGACAUACCCAUCGUCACAUUUCUCUGUGGCUUCAUCUGUCCCAUGGGAUGGUUUAUCUCCUGACCCCAGAUCAGAUGUUAGCUCUGUAAUCGCCUCCCUUAGUUCGUUUUAUAAUGUUAUGUCCUGACUCCAGGUCAGAUGUUAGCUCUGUAAUCGCCCCCUGUAGUUCGUUUUAUAAUGUUAUGUCCUGACCCCAGAUCAGUGAUGAGUGUCUUAUGAGCUUUUAUUAAGCAGCAUUUUGCAUUGAUCAAAGUUGAUGUGUAUAAAUGCUGGCCCUUCAGCCAAAGGGUUUUUAUUCCUUAUAAGAGACUCGCUUUUACCAUUUAACAUCCUGUUACAAUGAUCAGCGCGGUGCCUUAGUGACAUCACAUCCUGUUAUAAUGAUCACAUUCUGUUAUAAUGAUCAGUGGUGCCUUAGUGACAUCACAUUCUGUUAUAAUGAUCAGCGCGGUGCCUUAGUGACAUCACAUCCUGUUAUAAUGAUCAGCGUGGUGCCUUAGUGACAUCACAUCCUGUUAUAAUGAUCAGCGCGGUGCCUUAGUGACAUCACAUUCUGUUAUAAUGAUCAGCGCGGUGCCUUAGUGACAUCACAUUCUGUUAUAAUGAUCAGUGGUUCCUUAGUGACAUCACAUUCUGUUAUAAUGAUCAGUGGUGCCUUAGUGACAUCACAUUCUGUUAUAAUGAUCAGCGCGGUGCCUUAGUGACAUCACAUCCUGUUAUAAUGAUCAGUGGUGCCUUAGUGACAUCACAUUCUGUUAUAAUGAUCAGUGCAGUGCCUUAGUGACAUCACAUCCUGUUAUAAUGAUCAGCGCGGUGCCUUAGUGACAUCACAUCCUGUUAUAAUGAUCAGCGCGGUGCCUUAGUGACAUCACAUCCUGUUAUAAUGAACAGCGCGGUGCCUUAGUGACAUCACAUCCUGUUAUAAUGAUCAGCGCGGUGCCUUAGUGACAUCUCAUCCUGUUAUAAUGAUCAGCGCGGUGCCUUAGUGACAUCGCAUCCUGUUAUAAUGAUCAGCGCGGUGCCUUAGUUACAUCACAUCCUGUUAUAAUGAUCAGCGCGGUGCCUUAGUGACAUCACAUUCUGUUAUAAUGAUCAGUGUGGUGCCUUAGUGACAUCACAUCCUGUUAUAAUGAUCAGUGGUGCCUUAGUGACUUCACAUUCUGUUAUAAUGAUCAGUGGUGCCUUAGUGACAUCACAUCCUGUUAUAAUGAUCAGCGCGGUGCCUUAGUGACAUCACAUCCUGUUAUAAUGAUCAGCGCGGUGCCUUAGUGACAUCACAUUCUGUUAUAAUGAUCAGCGCGGUGCCUUAGUGACAUCACAUUCUGUUAUAAUGAUCAGCGGUGCCUUAGUGACAUCACAUUCUGUUAUAAUGAUCAGCGCGGUGCCUUAGUGACAUCACAUUCUGUUAUAAUGAUCAGUGGUGCCUUAGUGACAUCACAUUCUGUUAUAAUGAUCAGUGGUGCCUUAGUGACAUCACAUCCUGUUAUAAUGAUCAGCGCGGUGCCUUAGUGACAUCACAUUCUGUUAUAAUGAUCAGUGGUGCCUUAGUGACAUCACAUCCUGUUAUGAUGAUCAAUAGUGGAAAACAGAAAUGUGGCCAGUUUUUGUCUUGUGGAGAAACCAGGAAAUGGAUGAUUUGACCAGGAAAUGAAUGAUUUGACCAGGAAAUGAAUGAUUUGACCAGGAAAUGAAUGCGUGAAUAAUUUGAUCCAUAUUGGAUCUGAGCGUGAAUGUGCUAUUCAAAAUGGUCAAUACCUGUGUUGUCAUUGAGGGGCAAUUUGUUUUAGCUAACGGCACUUUUAAUAAAUUACAAUGAACUGUU